rnacentral:rRNA from 1 species
GACGAACGCUGGCGGCGCGCUUAACACAUGCAAGUCGAGCGAUGAAAUCUUGACAGAACCCUUCGGGGCGAAGAUAAGAUGGAUUAGCGGCGGACGGGUGAGUAACACGUGAGUAACCUGCCUUAGACAUUGGGAUAGCCUCGGGAAACCGGGAUUAAUACCAAAUGAAAUCACAUAUGCACAUGCAUAAAUGAUCAAAGCUCCGGCGGUCUAAGAUGGACUCGCGUCCCAUUAGCUAGUUGGUGAGGUAACGGCCCACCAAGGCGACGAUGGGUAGCCGGCCUGAGAGGGUGAACGGCCACAUUGGAACUGAGAAACGGUCCAAACUCCUACGGGAGGCAGCAGUGGGGAAUAUUGCACAAUGGAGGGAACUCUGAUGCAGCGACGCCGCGUGAACGAAGAAGGCUUUCGAGUCGUAAAGUUCUUUUAUAUGGGAAGAUAAUGACGGUACCAUAAGAAAAAGCCCCGGCUAACUACGUGCCAGCAGCCGCGGUAAUACGUAGGGGGCUAGCGUUGUCCGGAAUCACUGGGCGUAAAGGGUUCGCAGGCGGAAAUGCAAGUCAGGUGUAAAAGGCAGUAGCUUAACUACUGUAAGCAUUUGAAACUGCAUAUCUUGAGAAGAGUAGAGGUAAGUGGAAUUUUUAGUGUAGCGGUGAAAUGCGUAGAUAUUAAAAAGAAUACCGGUGGCGAAGGCGACUUACUGGGCUCAUUCUGACGCUGAGGAACGAAAGCGUGGGUAGCAAACAGGAUUAGAUACCCUGGUAGUCCACGCUGUAAACGAUGAGUGCUAGGUAUCGGAAUAAUUCGGUGCCGCAGUUAACACAUUAAGCACUCCGCCUGGGGAGUACGUGCGCAAGCAUG